rnacentral:rRNA from 1 species
GAUGAACGCUGGCGGCGUGCCUAAUACAUGCAAGUCGAGCGAACGGACGAGAAGCUUGCUUCUCUGAUGUUAGCGGCGGACGGGUGAGUAACACGUGGAUAACCUACCUAUAAGACUGGGAUAACUUCGGGAAACCGGAGCUAAUACCGGAUGAUAUUUUGAACCGCAUGGUUCAAAAGUGAAAGACGGUCUUGCUGUCACUUAUAGAUGGAUCCGCGCUGCAUUAGCUAGUUGGUAAGGUAACGGCUUACCAAGGCAACGAUGCAUAGCCGACCUGAGAGGGUGAUCGGCCACACUGGAACUGAGACACGGUCCAGACUCCUACGGGAGGCAGCAGUAGGGAAUCUUCCGCAAAGGGCGAAAGCCUGACGGAGCAACGCCGCGUGAGUGAUGAAGGUCUUCGGAUCGUAAAACUCUGCUAUUAGGGAAGAACAUAUGUGUAAGUAACUGUGCACAUCUUGACGGUACCUAAUCAGAAAGCCACGGCUAACUACGUG